AUGCGUCCCGGAUCGUAUACGGGUCCAAAUAUUCAAGUUUAGAUUGUUGCAAGUUGGUUUUGUAGCGAAGUAGAGAGUACUCUUGUAUCAUUGUUCCUGGAGAAGAUGUCAAAUACAGUUUCGGGUUAAAGAUACUCCUUCAUCAGUGCAUGUCUGCUUCACACGGAUAUAAGCUAUUGAAACUGAUUUAAAAAGUACAUAAAAGGUCGGUAAUGUCUAAUGAGAAAUGCUACUCAAGUUCAAAUUCAAUUCUAUGAUAGUGGCCUGCAAUUACUUUACAUCCCCAUUAACAAUUUAAAGGACUCAAAAACUGAGCACACUUUGAUGUUUCAGCAAAAACAAAUCCUCCACAAAUAUCAUGGUUACAGUUUCAUUUUUUAGUUUUUACUGAUCUUCUUCGUCGUAAUUAACAGUGGCCGGUAAACUAAUUUACCUGGUGACGAUGCUGUUAAAAUCAUAAGAGAGUGGUCGUAAAAGUUAUUUAAGGAGGGAACUUUCAGGUGGGACCUUUUUUUUUAACUUUUUACUGGUUGAUAAAGAGAAAGUGACGAUGAGACAGAGCUGGAUCAAGUUACCGCCGCCACGUUAAACCUUCUUCUCUA
rnacentral:lncRNA from 1 species